UACUAAGUUCUAAUGAAAGACCCCCGAAGGGAGACCCUCACUCAAGCCUCGGGACAGCCGCGGACCCAAGAAGACACUGAGACCG
rnacentral:pre_miRNA from 7 species